UGACUGGCGGCGUGCUAAUACAUGCAAGUCGAGCGAACAGAGAAGGAGCUUGCUCCUUUGACGUUAGCGGCGGACGGGUGAGUAACACGUGGGCAACCUACCUUAUAGUUUGGGAUAACUCCGGGAAACCGGGGCUAAUACCGAAUAAUCUAUUGUCCCUCAUGGGACAAUACUGAAAGACGGUUUCGGCUGUCGCUAUAGGAUGGGCCCGCGGCGCAUUAGCUAGUUGGUGAGGUAACGGCUCACCAAGGCGACGAUGCGUAGCCGACCUGAGAGGGUGAUCGGCCACACUGGGACUGAGACACGGCCCAGACUCCUACGGGAGGCAGCAGUAGGGAAUCUUCCACAAUGGGCGAAAGCCUGAUGGAGCAACGCCGCGUGAGUGAAGAAGGAUUUCGGUUCGUAAAACUCUGUUGUAAGGGAAGAACAAGUACAGUAGUAACUGGCUGUACCUUGACGGUACCUUAUUAGAAAGCCACGGCUAACUACGUGCCAGCAGCCGCGGUAAUACGUAGGUGGCAAGCGUUGUCCGGAAUUAUUGGGCGUAAAGCGCGCGCAGGUGGUUUCUUAAGUCUGAUGUGAAAGCCCACGGCUCAACCGUGGAGGGUCAUUGGAAACUGGGAGAACUUGAGUGCAGAAGAGGAUAGUGGAAUUCCAAGUGUAAGCGGUGAAAUGCGUAGAAGAUUUGGAGGAAACAACCAGUGGGCGAAGGCGACUUAUCCUGGUUCUGUAACUGACAACUGAAGGCGCGGAAAGCGUUGGGGGAGCAAA
rnacentral:rRNA from 1 species